AACGAACGUUGGCGGCAGGCUUAACACAUGCAAGUCGAACGCAUCCUUCGGGGUGAGUGGCAGACGGGUGAGUAACGCGUGGGAACGUGCCCUUCAGUUCGGAAUAACCCAGGGAAACUUGGGCUAAUACCGGAUACGUGCGAGAGCAGAAAGAUUUAUCGCUGAAGGAUCGGCCCGCGUCUGAUUAGCUAGUUGGUGGGGUAAUGGCCCACCAAGGCGACGAUCAGUAGCUGGUCUGAGAGGAUGAUCAGCCACAUUGGGACUGAGACACGGCCCAAACUCCUACGGGAGGCAGCGGUGGGGAAGAUGGGACAAUGGGCGCAAGCCUGAUCCAGCCAUGCCGCGUGAGUGAUGACGGCCUUAGGGUUGUAAAGCUCUUUCGUCCGGGACGAUAAUGACGGUACCGGAAGAAGAAGCCCCGGCUAACUUCGUGCCAGCAGCCGCUGUAA
rnacentral:rRNA from 1 species